AUUGAACGCUGGCGGCAUGCCUUACACAUGCAAGUCGAACGGCAGCGCGGGGCAACCUGGCGGCGAGUGGCGAACGGGUGAGUAAUAUAUCGGAACAUACCCUAGAGUGGGGGAUAACGUAGCGAAAGUUACGCUAAUACCGCAUACGCACUAAGGUGGAAAGUGGGGGAUUCGCAAGAACCUCAUGCUCAUGGAGUGGCCGAUAUCUGAUUAGCUAGUUGGUGAGGUAAAGGCUCACCAAGGCAACGAUCAGUAGCUGGUUUGAGAGAACGACCAGCCACACUGGAACUGAGACACGGUCCAGACUCCUACGGGAGGCAGCAGUGGGGAAUUUUGGACAAUGGGGGCAACCCUGAUCCAGCAAUGCCGCGUGAGUGAAGAAGGCCUUCGGGUUGUAAAGUACGUCUUUUGUUCUAGGGAAGAAACGGUA
rnacentral:rRNA from 1 species